rnacentral:misc_RNA from 1 species
UUUUAUUUUGCAAAGCAGCGAUUGAGGUUCCUUGGCAUGUUCCAUGUGGUGGGGUCUGCUAUGGGGAUGGAAACUUAGUGUUCAUUGCUAAUGAUUGGCAUACUGCUUUAUUGCCAGUAUAUCUGAAAGCUUAUUAUCGUGACAAUGGAAUUAUGAACUAUACAAGAUCUGUCCUGGUGAUUCAUAACAUCGCUCAUCAGGGUCGUGGUCCUUUGGAGGAUUUUUCAUAUGUAGAUCUUCCAC